CAUGAACUACGAAGGCCAGUUAAUAUGUAAGGACACCAAUGAACAGACACUUUCCAAUUAUCGUACAUCAUAUACAUGGGUGGUCAAACUCACUGGAUGGUUUAUCAACACUCCCAUGCUCAUGAACAGCCUUGCCCCAGGAAUUUUGCCCUGAAGUAACAUUGCAGUCUAUUGUCUCCUUUCUUUUUACAACCCUGGCAGCCAUGCAGGAUAGAAGCUGAUAACUUGUACUUGACAGCAAAUAGUAAU